UCCUGCAAUGUCAGAUUAUUGCAUACAGCUCCACAGUUAAAGGAACCAUUACCUGUGCUUUGUAGACCAAUACGAGUAUAUAUACAAUAUAUACACUUCCUCAGAGGAUACAUAUGUUUUCAUGGAUUUGUGGUGUGCACAUUUGUCAAUUAAAGGUAGUCCUGACUUCCUACUUCCUUUGAGAGGGAAACAUCCUGGAAGGAAGGAUACAGCUUCACAAAAAAGCAUGUGAAAAUCAACUAGUACUGGGUGACAAGAAUGUAAUGUCAAAGCUACCAGAAGACUGAUGAGGUGCAUGUGGCUGAG